CAGUCGCCACGGGAAUACAGAGGGUGCGAGCGUUAAUCGGAUUUACUGGGCGUAAAGCGUGCGUAGGCGGCUAAUUGAGUCGGAUGUGAAAUCCCCGAGCUUAACUUGGGAAUUGCAUUCGAUACUGGUUAGCUAGAGUGUGGGAGAGGAUGGUAGAAUUCCAGGUGUAGCGGUGAAAUGCGUAGAGAUCUGGAGGAAUACCGAUGGCGAAGGCAGCCAUCUGGCCUAACACUGACGCUCAUGCACGAAAGCGUGGGGAGCAAACAGGAUUAGAUACCCCCGUAGUCCCUGUCUCUUAUAC
rnacentral:rRNA from 1 species